rnacentral:rRNA from 1 species
GAGGGAAAGGUGAAAAGAACCCCGGGAGGGGAGUGAAAUAGAAUUUGAAACCCUAUGUUUACAAGCAGACAAAGCACGUUAAGGUGCGAUGUCGUACUUUUUGUAGAACGGUCCAGCGAGUUAUUGUAUAUGGCAAGGUUAAAUACUAAGUAAGGUAUGGAGCCGAAGCGAAAGCGAGUGUUAAUAGCGCGUUUAAGUCAUAUGUAAUAGACCCGAAACCGAGUGACCUAUCCAUGGUCAGGAUGAAGCUAGAGUAAAAUCUAGUGGAGGUCCGAACUGAUUGUCGUUAAAAAGGCACCGGAUGAACUGUGGAUAGCGGAGAAAUUCCAAUCGAACUCGGAGAUAGCUGGUUCUCCUCGAAAUAGCUUUAGGGCUAGCCUUGAGGUAAAGACGUAUGGGGGUAGAGCACUGAAUGAGCUAGGGGCCUAACCAGGUUACUGAACUCUAUCAAACUACGAAUACCAUAUUGUUAUACUCAGGAGUCAGACUGCGGGAGCUAAGUUCCGUGGUCAAAAGGGAAAGAGCCCAGAUCGUCAAUUAAGGUCCCAAAGAUAUAGCUAAGUGGAAAACGAUGUGAUUUUGCGUAAACAACCAGGAUGUUGGCUCAGAAGCAGCCACUCAUUCAAAGAGUGCGUAACAGCUCACUGGUCGAGUGAAAUUGCGCGGAAAAUUACCGGGGCUAAGCUAUACACCGAAAUUGCGGAUUCAAGGAUUUAUCCUUGAGUGGUAGAGGAGCAUUCUGUUGUAGGUUGAAGUAUGACCGUAAGGACAUGUGGACGAAGCAGAAGAGAGAAUGCUGGAAUAAGUAGCGAGAGCAAGGUGAGAAUCCUUGCCGUCGAAAGUCUAAGGUUUCCUGGGGAAGGUUCGUCCGCCCAGGGUUAGUCGGGACCUAAGGAGAGGCCGAGAGGCGUAUCUGAUGGACAGCAGGUUGAUAUUCCUGCACUAUAGAUAUACUUAAAAGAUGCAAGGGACGCAGAAGUGGAAGGAAUGCGAGGAAGAGGAAAAACUCGUAUCGAAAGAUAUAGUGAAAAUAAAGUAACGAAUUUCCAAGAAGCACGCUGACGAGAAAAGCUUGUAGAUAUUGUAUAUAAAUACCCGUACCGCAAACCGACACAGGUAGAUGAGGAGAGGAUCCUAAGACGAGCGGGAGAAGCAUUGUUAAGGAACUCGGCAAAUUGACCCCGUAACUUCGGAAUAAGGGGUGCCUAUGUAAAAGUAGGCCGCAGAGAAUAGGCCCAAGCAACUGUUUAACAAAAACACAGGUUUCUGCUAAAUCGAAAGAUGAAGUAUAGGAGCUGACGCCUGCCCAGUGCUGGAAGGUUAAGGGGAAGAGUUAAGACUUGAUCUGAAGCUUAGAACCAAAGCCCCAGUGAACGGCGGCCGUAACUAUAACGGUCCUAAGGUAGCGAAAUUCCUUGUCAGGUAAGUUCUGACCCGCACGAAAGGCGUAAUGAUUUGGGCACUGUCUCGACAAUGUACCCGGCGAAAUUGUAGUACUAGUGAAGAUGCUAGUUACCUGCGACAAGACAGAAAGACCCCAUGGAGCUUUACUGCAGCUUGAUACUGGGUUUCGGUAAUUUAUGUACAGGAUAGGUGGGAGACUAUGAAGUUAUGGCGUCAGCCGUAAUGGAGUCACCGUUGGGAUACCACCCUUAAGUUAUUGAAAUUCUAACUUGUGAUCAUGAACUGGUCAGAGGACAAUGUCAGGCGGGCAGUUUGACUGGGGCGGUCGCCUCCUAAAGAGUAACGGAGGCGCCCAAAGGUUUCCUCAGCGCGGACAGAAAUCGCGCGAAAGAGUGUAAAGGCAGAAGGAAGCUUAACUGAGAGACAGACAUGUCGACCAGAUACGAAAGUAGGGCUUAGUGAUCCGGCGGUAGUGAAUGGAAAUGCCGUCGCUCAACGGACAAAAGUUACCCUGGGGAUAACAGGCUUAUCUCCCCCAAGAGUUCACAU